rnacentral:rRNA from 1 species
AAGUUGUUGUGGUUAAAAGCUCGUAGUUGGAUCUCAGCUUAUUCGCCAUGGUCCACUUGACGGUGGUUACUGAUGGUGAUGGGCAAUUUAUCGGGUUGUCUCAUGGUGUUCUUGAUUGAGCGUCAUGGGCGAUCGAUAUGUUUACUUUGAAAAAAUUAGAGUGCUCAAAGCAGGCAUAUUGGCCUGAAUACUGUUGCAUGGAAUAAUAGAAUAGGACCUUGGUUCUGUUCUGUUGGUCUUCGGAAUCGAGGUAAUGAUUAAGAGGGACGGACGGGGACAUUAGUACUGCGGCGAUAGAGGUGAAAUUCUUGGACCGCCGCAUGACUAACAAAAGCGAAAGCAUUUGUCAAGAACGUUUUCAUUAAUCAAGAACGAAAGUUAGAGGUUCGAAGGCGAUCAGAUACCGCCCUAGUUCUAACCAUAAACGAUGCCAACCAGCAAUCAGCCAGAGUUUAUUGUAUGACUCGGCUGGCGGCUUCCGGGAAACCAAAGUUUUUCGGUUCCAGGGGAAGUAUGGUUGCAAAGCUGAAACUUAAAGGAAUUGACGGAAGGGCACCACCAGGAGUGGAGCCUGCGGCUUAAUUUGACUCAACACGGGGAAACUCACCCGGUCCGGACACUGGAAGGAUUGACAGAUUAAGAGCUCUUUCUUGAUUCAGUGGGUGGUGGUGCAUGGCCGUUCUUAGUUGGUGGAGCGAUUUGUCUGGUUAAUUCCGAUAACGAACGAGACUCUAGCCUACUAAAUAGUGUUGGACACCUUCGGUUGUUGGAACACUUCUUAGAGGGACAAACGGCGUUUCAGCCGUAUGAAAAAGAGCAAUAACAGGUCUGUGAUGCCCUUAGAUGUCCGGGGCCGCACGCGCGCUACACUGAAAAAAUCAGCGUGCAUUACUGUGCCUACUCCGAAAGGAGCGGGAA